rnacentral:rRNA from 1 species
CCUACGGGUGGCAGCAGUGAGGAAUAUUGGUCAAUGGACGAGAGUCUGAACCAGCCAAGUAGCGUGAAGGAUGACUGCCCUAUGGGUUGUAAACUUCUUUUAUAUGGGAAUAAAACGUUCCACGUGUGGGAUUUUGUAUGUAUCAUAUGAAUAAGGAUCGGCUAACUCCGUGCCAGCAGCCGCGGUAAUACGGAGGAUCCGAGCGUUAUCCGGAUUUAUUGGGUUUAAAGGGAGCGUAGGUGGAUUGUUAAGUCAGUUGUGAAAGUUUGCGGCUCAACCGUAAAAUUGCAGUUGAAACUGGCAGUCUUGAGUACAGUAGAGGUGGGCGGAAUUCGUGGUGUAGCGGUGAAAUGCUUAGAUAUCACGAAGAACUCCGAUUGCGAAGGCAGUUCACUGGACUGCAACUGACACUGAGGCUCGAAAGUGUGGGUAUCAAACAGGAUUAGAUACCCCAGUAGUC